AUUGAACGCUGGCGGCAGGCCUAACACAUGCAAGUCGAACGAGUGGCGGACGGGUGAGUACUGUCUGGGAAACUGCGCGAUGGAGGGGGAUAACUACUGGAAACGGUAGCUAAUCACGCAUACCAUCGGAUGUGCGCAGAGGGGAUUAGCUGGUAGGUGGGGUAACGGCUCACCUAGGCGACGAUCCCUAGAUGGACUGAGAGGAUGACCAGCCACACUGGAACUGAGACACGGUCCAGACUCCUACGGGAGGCAGCAGUGGGGAAUCUUGGACAAUGGGCGAAAGCCUGACGCAGCCAUGCCGCGUGUGUGAAGAAGGCUUUCGGGUUGUAAAAUUCUUUCAGCGGGGAGGCGUUAUUCACACAGGAAGCAACGGCUAACUCCGUGCCAGCAGCCGCGGUAAUAC
rnacentral:rRNA from 1 species